ACUUGAAACAAUGAAAUAGCUAAAAACCUUAAACUCCUUUUCUCGGUAGUCUAGAUUCCUAAUCUACCACCUGUACUGAAGAUGUCAUAUCAUCUGGUGAACUUCCUGUAAAGAUCAUCUGACUAAAAAGUGUUUCCCAAGUUCCAGGUUAUCACAAGAGCCACCUUCAUCUCAACAUGAAAAGGUCCUUCAUAGUCAUCAGAAAUCAUGACCCAGGGUCAUUUAAUGUGCUAGUUCCUUGCAGAGAGAAGGGAUUUUGCAGCAGAACGUGAUUGUAGAACUGGAGGCAAGAGAUGUCCCCUGAAGUUGUAAUAAUUGCAUAGAGGCAGAGUGAAAAGAUCAGCUGGACCAAGACAAAGACAUUUAUUUUAGCCAUAACAGCGCGCUGAUGUGAUGGACUUAAUAAAUAAUGCCUUG
rnacentral:lncRNA from 1 species